CUUUGAAACCAGGACGCCAGUUUUGGCGGAGCCAUCCUUGGGAUACCACCCUUGUAGUACUGGGACUCUAACCAUAGGCCAUGAAUCUGGUCUUGGGACACUGUCAGGUGGGCAGUUUGACUGGGGCGGUCGCCUCCCAAAAGGUAACGGAGGCGCUCAAAGGUUCUCUCAGUACGGUCGGAAAUCGUACGUAGAGUGUAAAGGCAAAAGAGAGCUUGAUUGCAAGACAUACAGGUCGAGCAAGGAUGAAAAUCGGACUUAGUGAUCCGGUGGUUCUGCGUGGAAGGGCCAUCGCUCAACGGAUAAAAGCUACCCUGGGGAUAACAGGCUUAUCUCCCCCAAGAGUCCACAUCGACGGGGAGGUUUGGCACCUCGAUGUCGGCUCAUCACAUCCUGGGGCUGUAGUAGGUCCCAAGGGUUGGGCUGUUCGCCCAUUAAAGUGGUACGCGAGCUGGGUUCAGAACGUCGUGAGACAGUUCGGUCCCUAUCCGUCGCAGGCGUAGGAAAUUUGAGAAGACCUGUCCUUAGUACGAGAGGACCGGGAUGGACG
rnacentral:rRNA from 1 species